UUCAGUCAUCCACUCGGCACUGAAUAAACAGCACCGCCCCAAUCUCCCCUUGGUUGUUUGUUUUAAGUGAAGAGCGAUCCAUCGCAGAGCGCCGGGCUCGAUUGACACUGUCUGAUGAUCUGCUACUGCGGCUGGCUCAGAAUAACAAGGCUGCUCGCUAAUACCCGUCUAUCGGGGCUUUCGCCAAAACACCGAGCGAAUAGGAUCCAAAAAAGCCAACAAGGCAAGCAAGAACGCCGCGCCGCCGAAGUCCGCACCACAGGAUGGCUUCGGGAGACCUUUACGAGGUGGAGCGGAUCAUGGACAAGCGGCGCAACAAGAAGGGCAAGUGGGAGUACCUGAUCCGGUGGAAGGGUUACGGCAGCAAGGAGGACACCUGGGAGCCCGAGCACCACCUGCUGCACUGUGAGGAGUUCAUCGACGGCCUGCAUCUGCACACCCAACACAAACAACCCAAACCCCCUAAGCUGCCCCCCGGGACCGCUGGGGGACCAGGGAGGCCAGGAGGGCCACCAGGGGGAGUUGGACCACACCUCCUAUCUGCCCCAGACACCCCGAGAGCACGAGCAGAGGCACGUAAGAAGAAAAGGACUAGUGUUAGUCCAGGGGCCGGGGUUAAUCCUGGGGCAGGAGUAAGGGAGGGCAUGGGUUUGGGGGUUGGUACUGGAGCUUCUCAGAAGCAGAAGAAGGUGAGCGGAGGAGGAGGAGGGGGUGGGAAGCAUGUCUCUCCACACAGGAUGACCAAAGCUAUGCCGUACAAGGUUCCUCCGGGGGGACUGCAGUUUGUGCCCCCGGUAAGGGCCCCUCAUAACGGCCUACAGAACGGAGAGAUGGACCCUGUCCUGUACAGGGCAGCAGCCAGGACACACAGACUGACCCAUGACACGGAGAGGGUGAUGGGGGGCGUGGAGACCCCCGGGACACCACUGGUCAAUGAACCAGGCGCCACACUCUCCAACGGUGAGGUGAAUCUGCACAGCUCUGUGAAGAGGAAGCUUGGAGACGACAAAGGCUACGUGUUCGACAAGCGGCUGAGGUACAACGUGCGGCAGAACGAGACCAACUGUCGAUUCCGUGACAUUGUCGUCAGGAAGGAGGAGGGCUUCACGCACGUGCUGCUCUCCAGCCAGACGUCUGACAACAAUGCACUAACACCAGAGAUAAUGAAGGAGGUGUGUCGGGCUCUGGGGAAUGCAGCAGCUGAUGACAGUAAGCUGUUGCUGCUCAGUGCUGUGGGGAGUAUCUUCUGUAGUGGCCUGGACCCGUCCUACCUGAUAGGACGCCUCUCCACAGACCGCAGGAAAGAGAGCAGCCGCAUUGCUGACGCUGUACGGGACUUUGUGUUGGCGUUUAUUCACUUUAAGAAGCCCAUCGUGGUGGCCAUCAACGGGCCUGCCCUGGGCCUGGGGGCCGCUAUCCUGCCCCUAUGUGACGUGGUGUGGGCCAGCGAGCGGGCCUGGUUCCAAACGCCCUGUGCCGCCCUCCGCCUCACCCCCUCCGGCUGCUCCUCCUACACCUUCCCCCAGAUCCUGGGAGUGGCUCUGACCAAUGAGAUGCUGUUCUGCGGGAGGAAGCUCACGGCACAGGAAGCCUGCAGCCGGGGCCUGGUGUCCCAGGUCUUCUGGCCAACCACGUUCAACCAGGAAGUGAUGCUGCGUGUGAAAGAGAUGUCCACCUGCAGUGCUAUGGUUCUGGAAGAGUCUAAAUGCCUGGUGCGGAGCAUUCUGAAGUCGGUCCUGGAGGAGGUGAAUGAGAAAGAGUGUCAAAUGCUCAAACAGCUGUGGUGCUCCACCAAGGGACUGGAGGCGCUCUUCAGCUACCUGCAGAGCAAGGUGUAUGAUAACUGACCUCUCACCUCCACACACCUGCAGAACUAUCUAUGGGCCACGAGAUCUGGUCUUCAGGUACCUACUGAGCAACAUCCCUGAAGAUAUAGGUCUUUGAUCUUCAAUUACCAACAGUCUUCUUUAACAACCAGCAGAACGCAGUUUGCCAGUCUCCGAGGCCUUAUCUCCUCUCGUCAACAUCUGGGCCUGCAGAGCACCACCAUCAAUGUUUGUUUUACUUUGGUCAUCCCUCAACGUCUCUGCCUGUAAGAUGAGCAAAGCAUCAACUUCUGGAGAGGAUUCAUCUGUAGGAUUCAUUCUGCAUUCAUACUGGCCUGCUUGGAGUUCAGUUAACCCCUUCCAGAGGAAGCAUUGACCUGGAACAGGAAGUCAUGACAGUGAACAAGGCUCUUCAGGAAAAUGGAGGCACAGCGGUGGUGUGAGUGCAUGGAGGCAAAAGAGCUCAUCUGAUGGCUAAUGUCAUUGUUCAGUUAUUUAUUUGAAAAUGUAUUUAGAUUUGAUCCUAAAUACAAAAAAAGCAUACCAUGUGUAUAUAUUUUCUUUAGUCUUUCUGUUUUGAGGUGAAGUGUCCUCCUGGGCUCUGAGGUGUAGUGAAAAUCAAAGCUAUGCUUGAGGUCAGAGUGAAACAUAUAUCUUCUCACUUUACAAUGCAGUAACCCUGGCCAAAGAAGUAAAUAAUAAUUGAAGUGAAACCUGUCCAUUGAAUUAGGUGUGGUGUAAUAGGAGGGCCACUGGGGAAGAGUUAGAGGUAGGUAAUGCCCAAUGAUACACACCCAUAAGUGGGAAGUCACUGUGAAUGGGCAGUGUUGACAGUGAACUCUUUCUGGAUUUAUAUAGAUCGUUUUGUGAUGCUCUUUUGGAAGUGUUUAUUCAAUUGCAUGUAUUUGGUUUGUCAGUAAGGGUGUUUGACCUCUGAUUGAAUGUGAAUGUGUAGAAGGGCCCUCUUUGACCACGACCAACACUCCCAUAGAGAACCAGAGCUGUCUGAUUGCAUCUUUUCAUUAGAAUGUGGAGACUGUCGAUAGAUCAACAGGAGACCUCUCCCUGGAAAUGGGAGGAAAGAGAGAGAGAGAAUGAGAGUAAGAGGGUGAGACAUGUGUGUCAUCAUUAUUAUAUCAGCAGCAUCAUGUGCAGCGUCAUCAUUAUCUUCAAGGCACUGUAUAUGACAUGUAUUACAGUGCAAAGGUAUAGCGGGAGUGGUUUGCUUAACUACUCUUCUGUGUUGACUAACCUUGCCUGAGACCUGAAGACUUCUUUUGGCUCCCAGAGCUAAUGCCCGGCCUUUAGCUCAGAGGGCUACUGCAGUCUUAAAUCGUGAAGACGACCAGGGUUUGAUACCCCGUUGAUUAUAAAGGCAUGUAUAUUACAUUGUGAAACGUGUAGCUAUGAUAUUUGGACAGAUAAUUAUUUUGAUAUUACCUUGCAAUUGGUUAUUAGUGAGACAUUGUGUAUUUUUGUAAAGCACAGAAAGAUUAUGUUUUGUCCCAAAGUAAUCACUGCUCUUUUCGUCUGUUGGCUGUCUGUGUUGUGAAGAUGCAGUAGUAGUGCAGCUGAAGCAGAUAAUACCUGCAUGUGAUGAUGGCUUCAGGAAAUGGGAAAUGUAUAUCUACAUAUAUUGUAUGUAUGGAUAUCUAUUUUUGGUUUACCCAAUAAUGAAAUGUAGUUUUGUGGAAAUUGUUUUGUAUCAUUCAGGAAGUGGUGGAUAUUUGCAGUUGUACACAUAUAUGAACCAUGUAGGUGUUAUAUGGUGUAACUAUAUGCAUGUACAAUAUUGCAGAUACGUGUGUUGCCUGUCAAAAUACUUUACAUUUCAGGGUAUGUUUUGUAUUGCCAUAGUAAGCAAUGUUAGAAAUCUUGCACAAUCAUUAUUUGUAUUUAUUUAAAGUUAGUGCUCAAGUUCCCCUUGGGGAGGCAGUGCCAUAAUGUUUCCCUUUUCCCAGGGGCAUCUCUUUCUCUCUUAUCUUCUGUUCCAGAUUUUCUCAGUAAAUUGCUUUUUUCCCUAGAUCUGCCCUGUGUGAUAGUGGUGACACAACAAAGACACACAAAAGAUGGUUACAUGUGGCAUAAUUAUUUUGAAAGGCUGUUGAUACCCACUUUAUGCCAAACUCUGAAACAGUAAUAUUGCUAUUGACAGCACUGACAAAUCAAAGCUCUAUCAAUUUCUAAUCAACCAUUCCCAAUUAUAUUUGAAUAACAAUUUCCCUAAUUAAUUUAUUAUUUGCGUGUUGAUCAGUAUAUUGCUAAAGUAUAGUGUAAGAUUAAAUGUAUAUUAAUAUAUUCAAGAUUUGAGUUUUGCCUGUACCUCUCCCCAACCUGGUCUCAGAGCAUUUUGUAUUCUGUACGUAAAUUCAUACACUCCAUUUAGUGUGAUUUGUUACUUCCGUAUGGUAUGUAUUCAUUUGUGGAUGUCCAUCAACCGUUUCGUAUGAUAUGUUACAAAUUUGCAAAAUGUACAAUAUAUAUUACAAUUUUCUAAACGUAUGAGGUGGGUAACAUUAGCUAUCUGGCUAAUGUUAGCUGGGGUUAGGGGUUAGUAUUAAGGUUAGGGUUAUGUUUAGGAGUUAGGUUAAAGGGUUAAGGAUAGGGAAGGGUUAGCUAACGUGCUAAGUAGUUGCAAACUAGCUAAAAAUUUGCAAGUAUAGUUACUAAUUAGCUAAAAUGCUAAACUUGGUCAUGAUGAGAUUCGAACUCACGUUCACGUUAUACACCAACCCAUCCACCCCAAACCAACUCAUUUUUGCCUUAAGUAACUAUCUGUCUUAUCUAACCAUAAAAAAACCUAAAAUAUUAUACUACUUUGUAUCUUGGUUUACAUUUACUUUGUUACGUAUAGUCUGAGACCAGGCUGCUCUCCCAGAACCCAAAUAGAGAAACAUUGUGUUUGAAUGACGCAUUUGAAUAAUUUGAAGUAAAACAUGUAUAAUUAAUUUGUUGAGGACUUACCCUUGAAUAUUAUGACCGGCCCUGUAAGCCAUGUGUUUAGGUUUGGUUUGUAAACUCCUAUCAUCUCUUUCUCUAGUCUAAAAUCACACCUCGGGGUGCCUUAGAAGUUGUAUCUUUUGUCUGUAGGAUGCUGUAUCCAUACGUUGUGAGAGUUUGGGGGUCAAGCUGCUUUGAAUAAACUAUGACAUUAA